UUAGCAAGCUGGUAGCAAGAGAUGCUCUUCCUCCCGCAUUUGUCUGUAGCCCUUUGUAGUGGCAAUAUGAUAUCUCUAUAUGUCCCUGAUCCAAAGGCAAGCCCCUUAUAUCGUCCACCCUGCUGAGCAGGUUAUGGGCUUUCAACUGACCUCCAUCAAAUAAGUGCAUGACCCCAGAAUGAAGACAGAGGGAAGGAUGGAUCACUGCUCAAUCUCUUUUAAAAACCGCUGAGGCAGAAACUAGUAGUCUAUUAAGCCAUCUCUCGAGUGGAACUCACAGCCCUGAUAUUUGUGAUCCGGCUACAAGACCUUCGUCUGUCAAGCUCUGAGCAGCUUCAUGGGAGAACACAGGUGAGAUGCUUGCCGUGUGUGUAGGUGAAAGGCUUUGGUCCUGUGGCACCAUUGUGACACAAUGAAGACCGUAAAGCAUUUAACAUGUCUGCUGGCCCCUUUGGCCUCGGAUUGGAAUUCGACACACCCACACUGAUCUGUGGCCCUCAGCAUAUAAGGUGGCUGGAGCGGAGUCAUCAGUCAUGUGGCUGGUGAUCACAGCUCUUUAUGAAGAUGGAUCCCAGUCGAUUUGCCAUCUUCACACAACUGCUUCUUUCAUGUAUCAAUUUCUGAAAGAAGGUAGUGCAUAAAACAUUUCCCCCCACUUUAUUUACAUGUGAAUACUGUAUUUAUAUGUGAAGUUUUAGCUCGGUGUGCAUGGCGUUCCACAGGUUCAACAGCUGGCCAGUGAACAUCACUCAAC